rnacentral:lncRNA from 1 species
GGGGAACCAGCGCCGGAUAAAAACGGGGAAGGGAGGGAGGUGAACAGAGCUGAGGGAAACCGGGAAAAGGGGAGCGAUAGAAACCGGAGUAGGGGAAGCCGGGCUCAGGGGAAAAGGGGGUGUUGGAGAGUGGUAGAGCCGGGCUGAGAGAAAAACCAAGCAGGGGAAGCGGCGAUCCGGGGAGAACGGAGAGAGGGAGACCGAGGGCUGUGGGGCUCUUCCCGCGGUUCUUGGUGUCAGCUUCAUUCAAGUCACUCUCCCGCCUCUCAUUCCUUUCUCCCCGCCUUUCUUCGCUUCCCUCCAAGUGCCCUCUCCAUUUGCCGGUCACUGGUCCCAGAGCUCCGGAUCGCAGUGGUUCCAUUUUAAAUUUCUUUGCUUCCUAACGCAACCUAUGUUUUCUACGGUAACUGAGGUUCCCGUGUUCUUUUUCACCAUGGUCUCUCCGUUUUAAUGUUUCGGGUUUUUUUACCCAGGCCCCUGUUUUAUGAGCCCUGGGUACGUCCUUCCUGUGUCCCGUUUGGCCUCCUGGGUUACACUCCUGUUCACCCCGCUUGGCCGGUUUUUUUUUUUCUUUUCUUUGAACCU